UUCACUAAUGGCGUGUUGUACAUAACUGUAAACAAAAUGGACGAACAGUUAAUAUGAAAACAGUCAAAUUCUAGGUAAAACUAUGGCUAAGCCAGGAAAAUUCUGCACACCUUGUAGGUUGGCUCACAAUGAAUCAAACCCUGCUAUAAACUGGUGCCCAUCCUGUCAGGAAUCGUUGUGCUGUAAAUGCAGUGGAUAUCACAAAAUACAAACAUCGACAAAAAGUCACCAACUUAAUUCAAUCGAAGAAGUCCAGAUGUUACCGUCGGUUGCUUUGUCGAUUAGUGUUAUGUGUGAUAAGCAUAAUAUGAAACUAGAUUAUUUUUUUCAUUUCACAACGAACCUUGUUGCGUCCAAUGCAUAUCAAGAAAUCAUCCUGAUUGUCGUCCACCAAUAUCUUUACUUGAAAAUAUUGUAAACUGAAACUCAAAGCAAUCAUCUACUGUUAAAAAGCUUGAAGAGAGUUUAUGUUCUGUUGUUGAAACCCUGGAUAUUUUGAAACAAGACCAUCAACGAAACAACGAAAAUAUCAAAAAGCAACGCCAAAAAUUAGAAUCUGAGGUUAAAGAAUUUCGAAAAAGUAUAAUUACUUGCCUUGAUGUUUUUGAAAAAAGGCUUUUCGAAAGUAUUGCAAAAUCAUCUGAUCGUUGUAAAAAUGAAAUAACAGAAAAAUACAAUGAACUAGAAGCAUUAACCGUUCAGUGCACAGGUAUCAGAGAUUAUCUUUCUAAUAUGAAACAAUUUGCAUCUGACUUACAGAUGUUUCUCGGGACUAGAUCACUACAAAAAAGACUUGAUUCUAUUGGAUCGUCUAUAUCAGGAAUAGGAGAGCGACUAGGGAAUUAUGACAUAAAAUUUACAAGGGACUUAAAUAUUAAGCAUGUUAAGUCGUUCAUGGAAGAGUUUGCUGAAACACACAUCAUAUGUGAGAACCAUUGCGAUUCUAAGUUUUCACAAGCUCAAACCUGGACAGCAAAGUCACGUAAAGAUCAACGCGGAAUUAGUGCUAAGGGAGGGAAAAGCGCUUCAGUUAGAGGUGGGAAAAGCAAAUCUCAUGAAGCUAAAGAUUCUGAUCGACUUUUUAUCCCUAAAUCUAGAGUGACCGAAACGACAAGGUUUUCUUCAACGACAAAGCUGACACUACAACAAAAAUUCGUAACUGAAUCAACAGAUUACAUCAAUAUAAAUGGAUGCACAAUUCUUUCAAAUGGAGAGCUUGUAUUCACAGAAUAUGAAAAUAAGUGUCUUGUUGUCUAUCAGAGCGAUGGUGUUAAAUCUCGGACAAUAAAAUUGUUUGAUAACCCGUGGGAUGUAUGUGAGGUUGCAAAUAAAUAUGUAGCUUUGAAUUUCCCCGUUCGAAGUACAAUUCAGGUUAUAGAAAUUUCCUCAUCAAAGCCCAAGGUAAUGGAGAAUUUCAGUACUUCAGAUGGCAUUUGUACCGCUAUAACUUACAACGAUCCAAACUUAAUUGUUGCAAUCCAGAAAGUUGGAUUCCAAAUAUUUGACUUAAAGGGAAAACUUGUCAAAACAAUAGAAAUGAAGUUUCAUGACGCUAAAUACAUUGCAUUUUAGUCUUCGCGUUUAUUCUAUACCGACUGGAAGAAAAACGAAGUAGUGUGUUGCGAUUUGGAACAGCAAAUUUAUUGGAAAUUCAAGAGGUCGGACCUAAAAUGUCCGAGUGGCGUAAGUGUUGACUAUGAACGCAAUAUCCUUGUUGUCGGAACUUCAUCAGGCAAUAUUCUGAAAAUAACACGCGAUGGCAAAUCAGCUGAAGAAAUUCUAAGACCCGAAGGCGGUUUCAAUUCUCCAACUGGAAUUUUCAUUGGGAAACAAAAAGAGCUCGUUUUGGUUUGCUUUCAUGAUAAUACCUUUGCCGCAACAUUUCAAUUCUUUAAAACAAAAUAGGCUGUUGAAUAAAUAAAGCUGAGUAACAAUUUAUUUGAUUUCGUCUGAUCGUUUUGGUAGAAAAUGUAUGACUGCUAUAGAUAAGAUAGCAAUAUUUUUUUUUCUUUGUUGUUUUGGUAAUAAAUCAGACAUAAUGUAU